CAUCGAAUCUUUGAACGCACAUUGCGCCCUCUGGUAUUCCGGAGGGCAUGCCUGUUUGAGCGUCGUUUCUCCCUCAAACCGCUGGGUUUGGUGUUGAGCAAUACGACUUGGGUUUGCUUGAAAGACGGUAGUGGUAAGGCGGGAUCGCUUUGACAA
rnacentral:rRNA from 1 species